GGUGAGUAACGCGUGGAUAAUCUACCCAUUGGUUCGGAAUAACAGUUGGAAACGCUGAUAAUACUGGAUAAUAUGGCAACGUUAAAGGUGGCCUCUGCUUGCAAGCUACUGCCAAUGGAUGAGUCCGCGUCUCAUUAGCUAGACGGUAGGGUAACGGCCUACCGUGGCAACGAUGAGUAGCAGGCCUGAGAGGGUGGCCUGCCACACUGGGACUGGAACACGGCCCAGACUCCUACGGGAGGCAGCAGUGGGGAAUAUUGCGCAAUGGGGGAAACCCUGACGCAGCGACGCCGCGUGGAGGAUGAAGGUUUUCGGAUCGUAAACUCCUGUCAGAAGGGAAGAAACCUGCAAAAAGUAAUAUGUUUUGCAGCUGACGGUACCUUCAGAGGAAGCACCGGCUAAUUCCGUGCCAGCAGCCGCGGUAAUACGGAAGGUGCAAGCGUUAAUCGGAAUCACUGGGCGUAAAGCGCUCGUAGGUGGCUUUGUAAGUCAGGUGUGAAAGCCCACGGCUCAACCGUGGAAUUGCACUUGAUACUGCAUUGCUUGAGUUCGGGAGAGGGUAGUGGAAUUCCAGGUGUAGGAGUGAAAUCCGUAGAGAUCUGGAGGAACACCAGUGGCGAAGGCGACUACCUGGACCGAUACUGACACUGAGGAGCGAAAGCGUGGGGAGCAAACAGGAUUAGAUACCCUGGUAGUCCACGCUGUAAACGAUGGAUACUAGGUGUCGGGGGCUUGACCUUCGGUGCCGUAGCUAACGCGUUAAGUAU
rnacentral:rRNA from 1 species